UACAGAGGUCCCAAGCGUUGUUCGGAUUCACUGGGCGUAAAGGGUGCGUAGGUGGUGGGGUAAGUUUGAUGUGAAAGCUCCGAGCUUAACUCGGAAAUGGCAUUGAAUACUAUCCUGCUUGAGGUUUGGAGGGGGGACUGGAAUUCUCGGUGUAACAGUGAAAUGCGUAGAUAUCGAGAGGAACACCAGUGGCGAAGGCGAGUCCCUGGACAACACCUGACACUGAGGCACGAAAGCUAGGGGAGCAAACAGG
rnacentral:rRNA from 1 species